GACGAACGCUGGCGGCGUGCCUAAUACAUGCAAGUCGACCUUAGUGGCGCACGGGUGAGUAAUGUAUCGCUAAUCUGCCCUACACUAGAGGACAACAGUUGGAAACGACUGCUAAUACUCUAUAGUGUAGGGUGAGGCUAUAUUGUAUCAGCUAGUUGGUGAGGUAAUGGCUAACCAAGGGUAUGACGCAUAACUGGUCUGAGGUGAUGAGCAGUGACACAGGAACUGAGGCACGGUCGAGACGCCUAAGGGAGGCAGCAGGAGGGUAGAUUGCUCAAGGGGGGUAGCGCUGAAGCAGCAAGGCCGCGUGGAGGAUGACACUUUUCGGAGCGUAAACUCCUUUUGUUAGGGAAGCGGUACCUAACGAAUAAGCACCGGCUAACUCCGUGCCAGCAGCCGCGGUAAUAC
rnacentral:rRNA from 1 species